rnacentral:rRNA from 1 species
GAACGCUCGUAGCAAUACGAUAGUGGCAGACGGGUGAGUAACACGUGGGAACCUUCCCUAUGGUUCGGAAUAGCCCAGGGAAACUUGGGGUAAUACCGGAUAAGCCCUUACGGGGAAAGAUUUAUCGCCAUUGGAUGGGCCCGCGUCGGAUUAGCUAGUUGGUGGGGUAACGGCUCACCAAGGCGACGAUCCGUAGCUGGUCUGAGAGGAUGAUCAGCCACACUGGGACUGAGACACGGCCCAGACUCCUACGGGAGGCAGCAGUGGGGAAUAUUGGACAAUGGGCGCAAGCCUGAUCCAGCCAUGCCGCGUGAGUGACGAAGGCCUUAGGGUUGUAAAGCUCUUUUGGCGGGGAAGAUAAUGACGGUACCCGCAGAAUAAGCUCCGGCUAACUUCGUG